UUAUGUUUUAGAGUUUUUUUUUUAAUGUAAACAUCCCUCAAACUGUAUAUGCACCGAUUGUCUACUUAGUUCUGAAACUAUCAAUUUCACCUCUUUUGUUCUUAAACUAUCACAUUGCACUCUAAUUGAUGUAAUACUUAACAGACACAACAAAUUUGGAUGGAAAACAUCCCACGUGCUUAUCAUGCGCGAAUAUUUUCCAGUCGUGAGGGGCAAAACAGCCAUUCACCUCUCUCUCUCUCACCCCAAUACCCUCUCUCUCAUUUAGGGUUUAAUCUUAAACAAAGAUCAAAGGGCAAAUUUUGCGUAGGGUUUCGGCAGCAUCUAGCUAGGGUUAAGAUUGCAAGGAGAUUACUUCAUUAUUCUCUGGGAUGGAUCACUUGAGGACAGGGGACGACAUAAUACCCAAAUGAGUACUAGUACCAGUAGUUGCUUCAUAGCAGGUGGAGACUGAGUGAGGUAGUAAACAGCAAAGAGCAUGGUCUUAGCUGUUGUUUCAUUUCCAGCAAAUAUAAGGUUGAUAAGGAAAUCAACAACAGCAUAGUCAGGUAAGCUUUCUUCAUCUACGAGUCUUCCAAGUAGGCCAUUCCCACCUUCCUUUGUAUCUUCUUCUUGUCUAUGCUUCUCUAUUGUGGUCUUGAUUUUGGUAAUUAUGGUUUCCCUUGCCUGUUGUCAAACAAAAUAUAUGCAAAUAUGGUUACAUUAAUUAGUUCAUCGUCUUCAAAACGUACAAAAAUCCAUUCUACAAUUUUUGGCAUCGGGUUUUAAUUAGUUCUAAGACACUGCAAAUUGGUGGCGACCUGCAAUACAUGGUUAGUUUGUCAAAGGAAUCGUUAUUGGCUUCGUAGUGCUUGUAUUUUGGAAUUGAUAUGAAUGAGGAAUGACUAGAGCAGGGAGAAGGUUUCGGCUUUGUCAUGUUCUCUGCCCUGAACAGGCUAGAGAUUCAGGAUUUUUUCCGGAGCUUAGAUUAGGUCCGGGAAACGGGAAAUGGGUCGGAGGCGGGUUUAGUACUCUUUACCCCGUCAUGAUCCCCAUUUUUUCUUACUAAUUCAUCCUUUGUACCCUUGAUUAUGUAAUUCUUAUGACCCUUCUUUUAUUGUGCAACUUUCAAAAUUUAUUCUAGUUCUCCAAAUUUUUGUUUUUAGGGCAAUUGAUAGGAAAGAUGAAUACAUCAUAUAUGAAUUACAAACUAUACAAAUCAUAGGACACUACAUCAGAUGUGGAAGAGUUCACGACAUAACUAAGCCUAACAACUCAACCCACACAAGAAAUAACCCUAUCAUAGGGAAACAAAUAAAAAAAAAGGAAGUAGGGGAGAAGUUAUCAAUUCUUGCAUUCGGCGAGAUUUGACACCUUGACCUCCCAAUUAAGAGUGCACAAAAGUGGUCAAUCGAACUAGACCCUUUUCUAGUUCUUUAGUUAAAGGUUCGUGAGUGUUAAAAUUUUGGAUUUUGAAUGCUUGAUGAUGAUACUAAUUUUGAAAGGUCCAUGACAAAGAUAUAUAUAUUUUUAUAGUGAAAAUUGCAAAUAAACUGGGUUUUGGAUUUUCACAAAUAUGGUUUAUGUGUGGGUAAUUAGAAAACAAGGGGUGGAAAUAGAAUGACCCCUAUUAGUGCUAACACUUCUGUCAAUAUGUGACAGAAGCAACUAUUUGGAUUGGACCUCUCUCUCUCCUCUUCUGCUUGAAUGGGUUGAGCUGCCCUCCUCUUUUCCCUAGUCACUGCAAGAGAAGCAACUAGUUAGUGCCUGCCGAAGGUGGCCGGAGGGCACUCUGAUGGCUAAGUUAGUGUCUGCCCGAGAGAGAAAAAACUCAAAGCGGGAGAAGAAAGAAUACCUCUUCGGGUUUAUCACUAUAGUAUUUACAGGAGUGCCUUGUCUUGGAGACCAAGGUAGAGCGUGUGUCGUCCUCAUGUCGGAUGGUCGCACCACGUGGCAGACCAACCUGGUGCCAUGUGGCUGGACCGAAGUAUUCCGAACUGGUGCUCCUGGUCCCCACUGUAGUUCACAGAUGUGACCUGACGCAACCUGACCCGACACCUCAAUUCGACCACUACGUGAGCUGGCGGAGCUGCCCAACAAAGGCCCCCCAGUCACCAAGGAUGACGGGCUGGUCUACUUUGGGCCCAUUUGGGCGAUUUGGAUUAUGGGCUAUAUUCCGGUCCGCUACAAUGGAGUGUUGACAUUGUGAUUGAAUGAGAAAUGGAGAGUUUACGUUGGAAAACUCGAAAGCACAUGGUAGAAUUUGGAAAUUGUGUAAAACUGUAUGGUUUAAAAUGUAUAACCCUGGACAGCAAUUCCCAAUGGCGCCCUUCUGUUGAGGACAUCAAUUCCCAAUGGUGGGCUCCAGAUCAUGGCACUUUCAAAUUCAAUUGCGAUGUGGCUAUGAUGUAGGACAAAUCUCUACUGAUUUUCUGGAAAGAUUUGAUAGGGUCAAAUCAAAGAAGAAGUAUUGAACAAGAUAUUCAAGUUAUGGGAACAAUAGAGUUUUAAUUUUUGUGUCUUGUUUUGACAACUUUUAUUUGGGAAUAAUAUUAGUAGAAGAUCUUAUUUAGUGUUGCCUGUUUAGCCCAAUAUCUAGUCUCUCUUUCUCUACUACGCUACGUCAGGCUAUCAAGCGUAACAGGCAGGCAGCCUUCGCUGCUGUUAUUCGUAACUGGAAUGGAUCGUUGAUGAAUGGAAAUGUAGCUCCAGCUAGUCUCUAGUCCUCUUCAAGGGGAACUCCUAGUGAUUCAUCUAGCAUGUGGGAUGGCGAGAUCCCUGGGCUUUUAUGGAGCAGUCAUUGAAUCAGAUAAUCAGAUGGCCAUCAAGCUCAGCGUCUUUGAGCUUGUUCCUCCUUGGGAGGUUGGGUCCUUGGUUCUGGAUAUCAGGCAGCUGAAACAGGAGCUUGAGCUCAAGUACACAUGGGUUAAGAGGGAAGCAAAUGGUUUAGCCCAUGUCGCUGCUUCCAAGGCUGUGAGGGAUCUUUCUUCCUAGUAACUGGGUGGCCUCUCCUCCGGAUUUGUUGCUUCCGUUUUAGAUAGUAAUUUCUGUUCUCUGUUGUAGCCACGUGGGCAAGGUUUUGGCAAUAAAAAAAAAAAUAAUUUGUAGUUUCCCGGUUUAAAAUGGUGCAAUGAUUUAAACAUCAUUCCAUUAUGGUUGGACUGUGUAUAUAUGUAGCAAUUAUUUUUAUGUUUUGUUUC